UUAAAAGUCUAUCCCACUUCUUGGGAUUUUUUUUAAAAGUCUAUCCCACUUCUUGGGAUUUUUUUUUAAAAAAAAGUCUAUCCCAAUCCUUGGGAUUUUUUAAAAAGUCUAUCCCACUUCUUGGGAUUUUUUUAAAAAAAUCUAUCCCAAUGUUGGGAAAAAAGUCUAUCCCAAUCCUUGGGAUUUUUUAAAAAGUCUAUCCCACUUCUUGGGAUUUUUUUUAAAAAGUCUAUCCCAACUCUUGGGAUUUUUUUUUUUAAAAAAGUCUAUCCCAAUGUUGGGAAAAAAGUCUAUCCCAAUCCUUGGGAUUUUUAAAAAGUCUAUCCAACUUCUUGGGAUUUUUUUUAAAAAGUCUAUCCCAACUCUUGGGAUUUUUUAA
rnacentral:lncRNA from 1 species